GGACCAAAAACACAGUAACAACACUUUGUUCUGCAGCUUCCAUUUUCCAAUGGGAAAGAGAAAUGGCCCUGUAUUUCCAAGAAAAGGUAGCUCAUCCACCUUGGCAGAAGAGGAAGAUCCAGACUGUUGACUGGUGAACAAGAACAAACAAUGAGGCAUGAGGAUUGGGUGUUGACGGACCACUUGUCACAUUGUCCAAUUCCAAUAGGAGUGCAUCCCUCAGACCUUCCGGUGCGUGGACAUCCUGUGCCAGUGUGAUCCGAGACUACAACAGAUCAAGCCUGUGGAUGGAUAGACAAGAGGCGUGACAUGCGGAACAUCAGGCUCACCCCACGAGAAGCAGUGCAUGAUCAACGCCACCCUCAGCAAGGCAAUCUGCUGGAAGUGAUGUACUCUCUCUCUCACUCUGGGUGUAACGGUGGUUCUCCUCCUCUUCAACCGAAGGGGAGGAGUAGUGAUUGAACCAAGGCGCAGCGGGUUGUGAAUACAUAAUUUAAUAAAGACACGACAAAACAAUGAAGACAGAAAACGACCUAGACUUGAAUAAACUACAAAAUAACAAAACCGAAAUGUAUAGACAGAUCUGAACAAUACGAACUUACAAAUAACGCGAAGAACGCACGAACAGGUAAAAAUAGACUACACAAAAUGACAAUGUACAAAAACAAACCGAACAGUCCCGUAUGGUGCGACAAACACUGACACAGGAGACAACCACCCACAACGAACACUGUGAAACAACCUACCUAAAUAUGACUCUCAAUUAGAGGAACGCCAAACACCUGCCUCUAAUUAAGAGCCAUACCAGGCAACCCUUAAACCAACAUAGAAACAGAAAACAUAGAAUGCCCACCCAAACUCACGUCCUGACCAACUAACACAUACAACAAACUAACAGAAAUAGGUCAGGAACGUGACACUGGGGGUAAGACUUAUAAAUUCCCACUGUGCCCAUGAUAAAAUGCAAUGUGAAUUGUGUUGUACUACUGAAUGAAACUGUUAGGAGAUGCACUCAAAAUGUAACUUACGUUGACUACAUUACUUUAGUUUUCUACUUUGAGCAAAACUUGAAUGUAAUAUAACCUAUUGUUUGUGUAUGAUCUGUAUUCAUUGUUCACUUGUUUUCAACAAUGUUAGGUCCAAGCACUCGGGCCUUCAGCAAGUAAGACACAAGGGGUACAAAAUAAUUUGUACAUCACAGAUAUAAAUUCCCACUGUGCCCAUGAUAAAGGUUAACUACAUUACUUUAGCUGGCUGCUUUGAACAACACUUGUAUGUAAUAUAACUAGGGCUGUCAUACAAAAAAAAAAAAAAAUCAUGAUUAAUUUCAUUCAAUUCUGUAGUUAAUCGCGAUUAAUCACUCAUUUAUUUUUUCAAAUUUGUUCCCAAAUAAAGAAACAGUGUAUUGAGUUAUAGACAUGUAGGGACUGAAACACAAAAAAUAAUCUGUAUCAGAAUGUUUUUAAUGGCAUAUUCACCAUAAACAAUUUAAGCAAUACAAAAGUCCUGUAACCUUCUAAUGCUCCCUCAUACAUUUUCUUGAAGUUGUCAAUGAGAAAUGUGGAAACUGGAAGGAGCCGCAGUGAGAAGAAUUAGGGGUGGAGUUGGAGGCGGGAGAGGAUGAGGAAGAGUUAGUCAGGUAACUCUUUUCCCACUAUACAACAAUU